GCGGGUGUAGCUCAAUUGGUAGAGCGUCAGCCUUCCAAGCUGAAUGUUGACGGUUCGAGUCCGUUCACCCGCU
rnacentral:tRNA from 2 species